rnacentral:rRNA from 1 species
UACGAAGGGGGCUAGCGUUGUUCGGAAUUACUGGGCGUAAAGCGCGCGCAGGCGGUCUUCCAAGUCAGUGGUGAAAGCCCGGAGCUCAACUCCGGAACUGCCAUUGAAACUGUGAGACUUGAGUAUGAGAGAGGUGAGUGGAAUUCCCAGUGUAGAGGUGAAAUUCGUAGAUAUUCGGAAGAACACCAGUGGCGAAGGCGACUCACUGGACACGUAUUGACGCUGAGGUGCGAAAGCGUGGGGAGCAAACAGG